AAAAAAAUCAAACGAGCGGAGGCUAGAAAUCAACGUCUGAUCAGAGAGCAGAACCGACUACGGUUCGCCGUGACUGAAAAGGAGGCCGCGGUGAAGCGGCUGCGGAAGACGCUGAGGGACAAAAGCGUCAGGCCACCUGGUUACAACGGUGAAGACUCAUGCGAGCAGCGCAAACGGCAGCUGGAGAACAACAUUGACAAGAUGAGAAUGAAGGUCACCGGGGCGAAGGAACUCCAAAAGACCUACCAGCACAUCCAUGACCACCUGCAGCAGGUGAGCUCUGCUGUUGGAUACGCUGAAAGCAGGCGGUAGUCAAAGGACUUCACCGAUAGUAGCUUAUCAAUAUGGAGAUACUUUUUUCUAUUUACACUCAAAGGGGAUUACAUAAUGUCAUGAAAGUACACCGAUAACUAAAACCACGCUCUCGAUGUCUGCAGACAUGUCAGCGAUACGUCUAAUCACACUUUGCAGUGCAGCCUUGUUGAGCUCAGGCUCAUCAGCUAAAGAGCCUCAAUAACUAUCUGUCUUUAUUUACUGCAGCUACUCCAGUUGAUCCAGGACACCUGUAGCAGUGUGCAGUCUUGUUUCUAACAGGAAGUAACUAGCCAGCCCAUUUAUCAAGUACAACUAUGACAUAGACAUAGGCAACUUGCACGCCGUCAGCACCGGACGGGCAGAGGUGGAGAGACUAAGCAGACAGCUCCAGGCAGAAGCAGCAGCUUUGGAGAGCUCACAGGGCAGGUUGGACGAGUUGCUGAGGAAGAAAGAAGAAAUGAAGCUUGACCAACUGAAUGCAGAAGAAAGGAAUCUGAACAGGACACCCGAGAAUCAGAAAGGGCGGGAAAUUGAUGGUGAUGAAGAAAAGGAAGAAGGAGCGCACUCAUUUCAUGUCACAGAUCAUCAGCCUUGUGACGUCAGUGGCGCUUCCCAGUCCGACAGGAAGCUGGUGGAGGACAUGGAGGCUCUGCGAGAAGCUCUGGGCGUCUGUCAUGUGCAGGAAAUAGGUCCCAGAGUGGCGUCUCUGUGGGCCACCAAGGAGCGGCUCCUCGCCGAGGUGACCCGGUACCAGGACGAGAUCAGGCAGGGGGGCCAAAGCCUUCGCCGAGCUGGAGCUCCAGCACACCAAGCUCAAGUUCACACCUUCAGCCACGAGGUCAGACGAGCUGAGGGCAGAAGUGAAGGCCGAGCAGGAUGA
ensembl:lncRNA